rnacentral:lncRNA from 1 species
CAAGUGUGCCCUUUCCUUCUUGACUUUUUAGCAGUUCUGGGUAAAUAUUGAUUUGCCCCCAGUUUACCUUCUCCCUGACUGGCCAUUUGCAGACUCAGGAACUAGCCUCUGUAGGGACUUGAUUUUUCUGUUACUUUCUGGCCGUUUCACCACCCCCCUUCCUCCCUCCAAGUGGCAUUGUAAAACUCACAGUGACAAAGAGACAGAGUAGGGUUCUAGGCCCCUGUUCCUGGGGACUUGAAGGCGGUUUUACAUACUGGUCAGACACGGCUGGAGGCCAAGGUCAAGUUGAAAGUUGCAGUCCAGCCAGCAUGAGAACUGCCAUGCGAGCGUAGAGACACAGGCAGCAGCAAAAGGCCCAUUGCCCACAUCCCCUCACUCUUAAUUUUCUCUCUCUUUUUAAAAUUCUCGCCUCUGACUCUGUUCGGCUGCCCAGAAUUUUUUGGUGCCUUCGUGGGGUUUUUGGGGCGGUGUUUACCGACUCUUCUCUGCCUCCGCCCUGCUCAGCCAGGGCUUUGAGCCUCUUCGGUUUUCCGGCCAGACCCGGAAAAACGAAAACACAGCUUGGGGAGCCCCCACUAGCCGGCGCCUGUGCCAGCUCACCUCUGGCCAUGGCGCAGCUGCCGGUGCACACGGCGGCCAAGGCCAGCUCCACAUUCUUCCCUCCCCCUCCCACUUCACCGUAGCCCCGAACCCUGCGCGCAGAGAAAGGGUCUCAGCUCCACAGACGACUGGGUCCCUCCUCACCAAAAAUGGUGAGACAAGAUUUCAUCUGUCGGCCGAGGAGCCACAAGCAGGUACCACAAAGCCACUAGUGCACAGGGACUCAGAAAAGACGGCAGGAGCCCAAGGAAAACUCCAAUUUGAGUACAGCCCUGCCUUGUUUCCCCCAGAGAGUCCCUGAGCAAGGAGACCUCCACCCCACACACACCAUUUCAGAACAACCAGGUUCCAGACUCCCAUGAGGAGCAUCUCCCACUGCAGAGCCUUGGCCAGCCGCGCCCGGACUCCUCAGAGCUGGCGCAAACUCCGUCCUCCAAAACUCGGCUCUGGGAGGCCUAAGUGACUCCGAAGCCGGCGGCAGCCGCGGCAGCGGCCGUGGUGGUGGAAGAGCUCUUUUCCCCGACAGUGCCACUGAUCGCUCUUCACUGGAGCUGGAAACAGCCUUCGCGGAAAGGACCGGAGCAUGCGUUAGAAGCAGAGGGAGCUUGGUGAAGGGCUCGGCUGGAAGGAGGAAACGCCUUCUCGCAGUGCGCGGCCAGCCCGCGGGGGACACCGGCUUGCUGGACUGCAGGGGCCCGUGCCACCCAGGAAGUGACCUGCGGGUCACUCAGCCGGGGCGCUGGGCGAGCGCGGGACGGCCCGGAGAAUUCCGUGCGGCUGCGACGGGAAAAGGACGAGGGGUCUCUGUACCCGACGCUGCCACUGGCCCAAAGGAAUUUUACCCGCGAGCGCCCACCCCACCCUAGCUUGAUGCUUACGCCCGCAACAAAACAGGAAACCAGGACUGGGCAGUGCAUUCUUUAAGUCAACAAAUACACUGAAGACUUCGAGCGUUUGAAGGAAGGAGGGGGUUUGCACGUAAGCCUGGCCCCGCCGGGCUCGGCUUUCUCGCUGAGAAAGCGGCGCAGGCAGCCAGGCGGCCUGGGCCCGCGGGGGUCCAUCUCGCCCUAGACUCCUAAGAACUCCCACGGCCCUGUUCCCAGCUGCGAAUUCUUAAUGCACAACGCGACGGAGGGAAGGAAAUUCACCAGCGCAGCGACGAGGAAGGGGAACUCAGGACCCCUUCAAGUACACACUGAGGUGUGAUCAGAGUUUUAUGGGCACUUUAUAUGCUGUAAUCAUAACGAUGUGUGUGCCUUGAUAUGCACGCAUAUUCACGCAUCAAACGUGCAUACACACACAGAGUGAAUGUGCGCAUCCAAUGUCAUGUGGGUGAAAUACAAGCAUCAUACCCAGCCCUACGAAAAAAAAAUUCACCCUGUCGGACCAGGCUGGUGACAUACUUCGCUGGCGCAUCUCCUUACUCACUCUUACUUUUCCGACCCCUCACCAUUCCCUCUCCUGUGGCUUGGUAAAUACACCUGCCCUCCGUGGAAGGUGAGUCCUGGACUGGCGUUGCCAGGUUCGCAUGUCCUCCCCAGAACCUCCGUCUGGCUCCAGGGACUCUCACUGAGCGGGUCUAGAGCACCCAGCACUUUUCAAGGAACAGCCGCGGUUCCUUUGUCCCGCGGCUCCAGCCCCGUUCGGCCCAGCUCUCAGGGAAACGAAGCGCUCAGUAAGAACUUUUGAUAUUAGUUUGUAUGGGUAUUUACACUCUGGUGAGGGGAGCUGAGUACGGAAGUUCCAUUAAUCAUACUCCAACCUUGGGUUUAGAUAUUCAGUUUAUGGGUUGGGAGAGGGAGUUUGCCGGAAAGAAAGCAUCAAGGUUGGCCGCUGACUCCAGAGAAAUGAAAAGGGAGCAAGGUCGUUUUCUGUUUCUGGAAAUCAAGAAUUAGGAAUGGGCAACUACAGGUGCUAACCAACAGACCACUUUUUUGUUUUUUGGUAGCCCUUUGGCAGGGAUAGUUUUUCCACCUUUGCCCGAUACAAUUUAAAAAAAAAAAUCCUUUUAUUAUGGAAUUUGUCAAACACACACACAAGCAUAACAAACCCCUAGGUACCCAUCUCCAAGUUUUGACCCCUAUUAUAAUUUCAUCUUCAGUGUUUUAUUAUCCACUUCCUCUCUCUCUAUCUUUAGUAUUUUAAAGUAAAUCCCAGAUAGCAUCACAUCAUUUCACCCCCACCAUAGGAUUUCAAAGAUCUGUUAUAUUUCAAGAUUGAGUAAAAGGGCUUGAAAUUGGGUUAUUGCAAUGAAACUCUAGAAAAAGCUUGAGGGUUCACCCAGGAGUAAGCUGGACAAAAAAGGGGUUUGAGGGGUGGACCCAUCUUGCCUAAAAAUCUUGUCUCAUCUUUCUAAAAAUUACAUAUGAAAGAGGAAGAUUUAUGUUACUUUUUUAUAUGAGAGAAUCGUCCUUUAAUAGAAAAUUUCUAUUGCUGCAUCAGAAUUAUGGAGGAACACAAAAAACAUACCUCAGUCCUUAGUGUGUCCUAAAUUAACACAUAUUCACUUAUUAGUGGGUAAAUGACUAUAUUUCAUUUCAGCACAACUUCUCCCCUGGUAGAAACACAAAAGAAAUUUCUAAUGAUUAAACUAGGAAAGUUUGCACUGAAUUGAUGGCUUAUCAGAGCAACCGCAGUUUUCAGGAAGAAAUUCAAUGCCAUGCGUUGAAAAUAUCCCCCUAGCAAUAAGGGAUUAUUUUUAAAAAAGAAUGAAUAAAGAUGUUCUGGUUUCUUUUGUUUUAA